AAUUUCGAAGGGAAUUCUCCGAUAAGGUGGGCGUGUUACAGGGAAGAUUAGGAUGACUUCUGCCCAAGGAUGACACACACAACUCGAGAAACAUAAAAUCUAAAA
rnacentral:snRNA from 1 species